GUACUAGCCGGUGGAAGUCUCGUGUCAUUUGUUCAUCAUUUCAUAUUUAUAUUGAUUUAAUCUUUUUUAUAUGAAUGUGAUUAGUGUUCUCUAUUCUGAUAUUCCUUUAUAGGUGGAUAUGGCAAUUGACAUUAAGGGUACCUUUGUUUGCCACAUUUCCUAACUUUAUAGUGCAACAAAUUCCUUUUCCCAUUUCGCAAACAGGCAGCUAAGCUUUGCAAAAGAGCAAGGAUGGACCAUCAAUGUCGAAGGAGGCAAACUUUAUGCUUAUGCAGACAUUUCACUUUGAUAGAUUAUGCCUUUGUCCAAUUGAAGAUAUCUCAUUUAAUUAAAUACCUCUUUCACCUCCUCUAUUGAUGUGUAUUUGUUUUAAGUCCAAACCCUUUCUUUUGCUUUCAUUUCAGAGUCUUUAUAACAAAUAGGAUGUACGCAUGCUUCUGUCCUCAACAAAUCAACCUAGUAUUUGGGCACGACUAUGCCGUACUUUCUCAAUGAAAUGAAUUGUCAUUUUUUUUCUCUUUAAUAUAAUACAUUUGUUCUUUCUA